GCCGCUAUGUGAGCAGUCAUCGGGAUACUGAGCACGCAGCUAUCGGUGAGCCGCUAUCUAUUCCCCGACCCGGUAGCGUUGCCGUCAGGCGAACCUUCUUUUUUAACGUCAUUUCUCGGGUCGGAAGCUCGCCUUGGAAUCCAACUGCAGUAUUCGUUGGCACCACAAACCCCCCUCUUUCGUUAAUUGGGAAGAUAUUCCCACCCAGCCGUGUGUGUUGUGUGGACUGUAAGCGCGCCAAAGGACCCUCCGCACUGGACGCUCGUGCGGUUUGUUCGCGCGACUUGUGACAUAUGGAGUAGAAAUACAAGCUACAAGUGGGAUGUGAUUCUCUGGGGGUUUCCCCUCUCAUUGACAAGGCCAAGUACACUUUAAUAGGCCUUUAUGCUGUCGGUCCCAUCGUGCUGUGAGAGGAACCGCUCCCCACCAGACCGUCUGGGCUCAGCAGGAAGUGCCGUUGCAUUAACUUCCAGGUCAACGUCAGAGGUCAUGUGGUCCACACGCCUGCUCUUCCUGUGUUCCCUGUUUGGACCUCUGGCCCUCGGUAAGACUUAAAGAGCAGGUGUCAACACACAUCACAC
ensembl:lncRNA